rnacentral:rRNA from 1 species
CCCUAUGGGGUGCAGCAGUCGCGAAAACUCCGCAAUGCGCGAAAGCGUGACGGGGCUACCCCGAGUGCCGUCCGCUGAGGAUGGCUUUUUCUUGGUGUAAUGAGCCAGGGGAAUAAGGAGAGGGCAAGACUGGUGUCAGCCGCCGCGGUAAUACCAGCUCUCCGAGUGGUAGGGAUGACUAUUGGGCUUAAAGCGUUCGUAGCCGGCUUAGCAAGUCUCCUGUUAAAUUCAGCGACUUAAUCGUUGAGCCGCGGGAGAUACUACUAGGCUAGGAGGCGGGAGAGGCCGACGGUAUUCUCGGGGUAGGGGUGAAAUCCUAUAAUCCCGGGAGGACCACCAGUGGCGAAGGCUGUCGGCUAGAACGCGCUCGACGGUGAGGGACGAAAGCUGGGGGAGCGAACCGGAUUAGAUACCCGGGUAGUCCCAGCUGUAAACGAUGCGGGCUAGGUGUUGGAGUGGCUAAGUGCUACUUCAGUGCCGCAGGGAAGCCAUUAAGCCCGCCGCCUGGGGAGUACGGCCGCAAGGCUGAAACUUAAAGGAAUUGGCGGGGGAGCACCACAAGGCGUGAAGCUUGCGGUUCAAUUGGAGUCAACGCCGGGAACCUUACCGGGAGCGACAGCAGAAUGAAGGCCAGAUUGAAGGUCUUGCUAGACAAGCUGAGAGGAAGUGCAUGGGCCAA